rnacentral:rRNA from 1 species
UACGUAGGGGGCGAGCGUUGUCCGGAAUCACUGGGCGUAAAGGGUGCGUAGGCGGCUUGGCAAGUCCUGUGUGAAAGGUCGCGGCUCAACCGCGGUGGGUCAUGGGAAACUGCCAAGCUCGAGUGCCGGAGAGGAUAGCGGAAUUCCCGGUGUAGCGGUGAAAUGCGUAGAGAUCGGGAGGAACACCAGUGGCGAAGGCGGCUAUCUGGAAGGUCACUGACGCUGAGGCACGACAGCUGGGGGAGCAAAC